rnacentral:rRNA from 1 species
UACGGGGGGGGCAAGCGUUGUUCAGAAUUACUGGGCGUAAAGGGCGCGUAGGCGGCCUUCUAAGUCGGACGUGAAAUCCCUCGGCUUAACCGAGGAACUGCGUCCGAUACUGAAAGGCUUGAAUCCGGGAGAGGGAUGUGGAAUUCCAGGUGUAGCGGUGAAAUGCGUAGAUAUCUGGAGGAACACCGGUGGCGAAGGCGGCAUCCUGGACCGGUAUUGACGCUGAGGCGCGAAAGCUAGGGGAGCAAACGGG